rnacentral:lncRNA from 1 species
AUGAGAAAUGAUUUUUUCUAUAUCCUCUAUUAAGCAUAUCCAAGUACCUUUCGAGAAGAUUGGAGAUCCUACUAUGUAUAUGAGGUGGAAGAAAAAUAUAUGUCUACUGACUCAUGAUGAACAGGUUCUUAAGAUCCCAAGACUCGCUGCUCUUCAAAGAUACUCUCUUUGAGCUCAACUUUCCUCCCACUGCUUUAUCUUUGUCAAAUAAUUUUUCAAGAAAAUAACAUGUCAGAUCACAUUGCAAUCCUUUCAGAAAGUAAUAUCCCAAACUCUUUUAGGAUAAGCUUUAUAAACUUAUCCUCUAACAUAUCCACCUGCUGCCUUAGACACAAGUUGGACAUCCUUGAAUCUCAAAAUAAUCAAGAUUCAAUUCUCACUAUGUCAUAUCUCAUCCGGUGUGGUAGAAACAGAUUUAGAGAGAACCUAAUUUUAUAUAAAUAAAGCAUGUCCAUAAAGAAACAUAAAUAAAUCAGUGAAGUUUCAUUAUGGACCAGACCACUCUUCUUAUCUCGUUGAGCUGAGAUGUACUAAGAGUAGUCCAAUAUGAAACAAUACCAUUUUAUGAGAUAAUCGAAAAAAAUUUUUCAUUGGUAUUGC